UGCAGGAACUGCUGGUCACAUGGGGCUUUUGAACAUUUGAAUGUGGCUACUGGCUAUUGGAUUAGAUGGUGCAGGUCUAGGCACGGAGGAAGGUGCCCCAUCAGACCUGCGUCCACUCUGUUUCCUGACACAUUUGAUCUCAAGGCACGUUCUCCAGGAGAGCCUCGUGCAUGGGUGUGUUCUGUCUCCUGCAGUUUUUCCCGUUGCUCACAACUGGACGUUACCAGGCAGGCAUGCUCUUAGAGGACUGGGAGAAUUUCCAUUGGUUCACAGAUGGAGGACCUUCUGCUGGGCUCCUGAAGCAAGGAGAGAGAUCUCCUUCCCUCCCAACAGAGGCCAAGCAAGGCUGCAUAAAAUAGGGAGAGUUCAGAGAGAAACACUUGUAUUCACUCAUUUCUUCAACCAAUAGUUACUGGAUUUCUGUAUGAGUCAGAUAAGGAGGCUGAGGCAGCAAAUGACAGAAUUCUCCAGGGGAUACAGAGCUGAUGAGCAGCAGAGAUGAAAUACAAAUGAUGACAGUUGUGGCUUCUGAAGCAGGUAAGACAGAAGUGGGGGGCAGGCAAAGGCUAUUAUUUUUCCUAACAAGCUUUGUAGAAUUAUUCAGCCAGGGCCAUGAGGAACCUGAUACAUUAAACACUAAAAAGUAAAAGCAAGGGGAGAUAAGGAGGUGGAGAUUGUGUAUACAGACAUCUGUUUCAAGAAGUUGGGGGACAUAGGACUGCAGUAAUGAGAGGGGAACUUGGGAUAAGAGAGGAUUGAUUAGGGUGGGCCACUGACUGCAAUGAAUGUGUACUUGUUGAUUAGAAUGAUCCAGAGAGAGGGUCAUUUAGAUUCUGGGGAUGGAGAGAGGCCCAGCCCUGGAGCUGGGAGAUGCUGGGUUUCCAGGGUCACUUUAUCAUCUUACCAUGAGGGAAAAGAAUAUGGGACUGCAGCGGUGGGCUCAUGAAUUGUAGUCAAAAGGUCUGUGGCUCCUCUUGCUCAUUUAUUCUGUGUGCAGGUAGAGUAACUGCCCAAGACACCACCUCCUGGAAUUGUUGAAAUCAGGUGCUGUUCCUCUGACCUCCAGCUUUCUCUUGUGUCUCUCUCAACCCUGAGUACCAAUAAAUUCUGAGAAAGAGAGAUGGGAACAGAUUAUCCCUUUCACCCUUUCAGUUAGAAUAUUCUCUGUUAAAAUUUAAGGUGUUGCUAAAUAGAAAUUUCCAGGAACAUUGGUCCAGAAUAUCCAAUCUCAUCCUGAGAUGGAUUUACAGCACAUGAGCGUUUACUAAGCAAAUCCAAUGCUGUUGCUGACCAGUGAGAAAGGGAAGUGAUUUAAACAGCUCAAUGCAAUUGCACCCAUGUUUGGCUCCCAGGGUUUCUGCUGGCUCAGCUGGCCUGGGCUGGGGACACGGAGGUGUGGGCAUAUGCUCCAUAGCAUAAGCAUCUGCUACUGAGUGUGCCUCCAAGAAGCACCAAGUCAGGCUUCACUACAGAGCAGCCACCUUGGCUGCAAGAAACCUGCUUCAUGUGGUGCUCAGUGGAAGAAACAAUCCAUUGCAACCCUGGAGGAACAACUGGGAGUGUUGGACACAGGAGAGAGAGGGAGUGUGGGGUCCAAAUGGCACCUUCCUCAGAACUUUCCCAAGCUGAUUUGGACUCUGAAACCAUUGUCUUUCACUCUGGUUGUAGAAUGCCACCGCUCUCAGAAAAUCCUACUGCACUGUUUCAGUUUUUCCCACUUUUCUGUGCCUCUGUCACCUUCGUGACCCUCAUUGCUUAAUUUGGUCUCUGAGUAUUUUCUUCUGGAGAGUUGGGGUUCUUAGGCAUAGACCCAGCCUCCCAGCGGGCAGCUUCGGGGCCUCUGGCUGCAGGUCUCAGUUGCAAUAUUCACUCUGCCCCAGACUUCCUCAACUGGGCAGAUGGCCUCACCUGGCAAAAUGCCUUCUGCAGCCACGGCACUGGGGUUUCCAUUUGUUACUGAUGAAUAGGAAGCUCCUCCACACUUUCCAGCUCAAUUCUAUCUUUGGCAGGUAGCAAACCAGAGGUGCUCAAUAAAUG